GGAGCUACACAUGCAGUCGAGCGGAUGAAGGGAGCUUGCUCCUGGAUUCAGCGGCGGACGGGUGAGUAAUGCCUAGGAAUCUGCCUGGUAGUGGGGGAUAACGUCCGGAAACGGGCGCUAAUACCGCAUACGUCCUGAGGGAGAAAGUGGGGGAUCUUCGGACCUCACGCUAUCAGAUGAGCCUAGGUCGGAUUAGCUAGUUGGUGGGGUAAAGGCCUACCAAGGCGACGAUCCGUAACUGGUCUGAGAGGAUGAUCAGUCACACUGGAACUGAGACACGGUCCAGACUCCUACGGGAGGCAGCAGUGGGGAAUAUUGGACAAUGGGCGAAAGCCUGAUCCAGCCAUGCCGCGUGUGUGAAGAAGGUCUUCGGAUUGUAAAGCACUUUAAGUUGGGAGGAAGGGCAGUAAGUUAAUACCUUGCUGUUUUGACGUUACCAACAGAAUAAGCACCGGCUAACUUCGUGCCAGCAGCCGCGGUAAUACGAAGGGUGCAAGCGUUAAUCGGAAUUACUGGGCGUAAAGCGCGCGUAGGUGGUUCAGCAAGUUGGAUGUGAAAUCCCCGGGCUCAACCUGGGAACUGCAUCCAAAACUACUGAGCUAGAGUACGGUAGAGGGUGGUGGAAUUUCCUGUGUAGCGGUGAAAUGCGUAGAUAUAGGAAGGAACACCAGUGGCGAAGGCGACCACCUGGACUGAUACUGACACUGAGGUGCGAAAGCGUGGGGAGCAAACAGGAUUACAUACCCUGGUAGUCCACGCCGUAAACGAUGUCGACUAGCCGUUGGGGAUCCUUUGAGAUCUUAUUGGCGCAGCUAACGCGAUAAAUCGACCGCCCUGGGGAGUACGGCCCGCAAAGUUUAAAACUCAAAUGAAUUGGCAGGGGCCCGCACAAUCGGUGGAAGCAUGUUGGUUUAAUUCGUAGCAACCCCAGAAACGUUACCUUGGCCGUGACUAUGCUGANAAAU
rnacentral:rRNA from 1 species